GGUGGCUCAGUGGUAGAGCUCUUGCCUUGCAUGCAUGAGGCCCUGGGUUCUAUUCCUUAGCACCA
rnacentral:tRNA from 1 species